CUUGAACGCUGGCGGCAGGCCUAACACAUGCAAGUCGAACGAGUGGCGGCCGGGUGAGGCCUGUCUGGGCAACUGCCUGACGGUGGGGGGUAACUACUGGAACCGGUAGCGCAUACCGCUUACCAUCCGCUUGGCCCCGAUGGGAUUAGCUAGUUGGUGGGGUAAAGGCUCACCAAGGCCACGAUCCCUAGCUGGUCUGAGAGGAGGACCAGCCACACUGGAACAGAGACACGGUCCAGACUCCUACGGGAGGCAGCAGUGGGGAAUAUUGCACAAUGGGCGCAAGCCUGAUGCAGCCAUGCCGCGUGUAUGAAGAAGGCCUUCGGGUUGUAAAGUACUUUCAGCGGGGAGGCGUUACCCGCAGAGGAAGCACCGGCUAACUCCGUGCCAGCCGCCGCGGUAAUAC
rnacentral:rRNA from 1 species